CAACUGUUGAAUCCGCUGAACGCAGCCGAUGUUUGUUUUCUUGCUGGAUUUCUAGCUGAAUUACAAUCUAGCCAUCGUAUUGGCUGCAGUACGAUCGUGUGCCGCUGGUUUUACUUCCAUCUGAUAAGUUCCAGGAUCCCUAUUCUUGAAAAGUAUCGCAUAUGAAAAACUAGAAAAAUACUAGUGUGUGUAACGCAUACUAUAGCAUUUCUCUAAUUUUUCGUAUCGAUACUUUUCAAGAAUAGAGCCUCUGGUCUCUAUUGGUCUCUAUUCUUCAUGGUCUGUAGUGUUAACCUGAAAAAAGUUGGAAUCUGAUCUUAAACCGGCAGUUUAAUAAAUUCUAUUAGAAAUAUUUGCAGCUUAUUUAUUGGAAAUUAAAGAUUUAUCGUUGUACAAUGAAGAGAGUUAUUAUUUUUGUUAACGGAACUGAUGUUAAUGGCAAAGUGUUGGUAGUGACUCACUCGUUAGAUGAAUUAUUAACGGCAGCUAGCGCAAAAUUUGAAAUAACUGCAAAGAGAAUUUUUACGUCGCAAGGUGGUGAAAUUGAUGAUAUUAAGCUCAUUAGAGAUGAUGACAUUUUAUAUGUUUCAAAUGGGGAAAAUUUUAUACAUAUAAGUAAAAUUUUGAACCAUAAUCAACUAAGUAAGAAUUCGGAAUGGAUUACAUUAAAUGUUGGAGGAAAAUAUUUUACCACAACUAGGAAUACUUUAACCAAAAAAGAACCUAUGAGUAUGUUAGCAAGAAUGUUUACAGAAACUGGAUAUAGUGAGCAUGCUAUACAACCAAGUAGACAGGAUCAUAGUGGAGCAUAUCUAAUUGAUAGAAGUCCUACUUAUUUUGAACCAUUGUUAAAUUACUUGAGACAUGAUCAAAUAAUACUUGAUUCUAAUGUUAAUGUAGCUGGAGUUUUGGCAGAAGCUUGUUUUUAUGGCAUUGAAGGCGCUAUUCGAAUCCUUACUACAAUGUUAGAAAAAGAAGAACUGCAAAAGGAGGGUCUUGUGUCUCUAACUCGCAAAGAUGUACUUAAAGCAAUUAUGUCUACACCAACUAACGCAGAACUUAGAUUCCAAGGAGUUGAUUUUGUAAGAGCUGAUCUUUCGAAAUUAGAUCUUAGAAAUAUUAACUUUAAGUACGCCAUUAUGCAUCACUGUAGUCUGGCAGGUGCUAAUCUAUCAGGAUGUUGCUUUGAGCGCGCUGAUUUAUCUCAUUCCAAUUUGCAAGGCGCACAACUUGUGUGCGUAAAAAUGUCAUGUGCAAAUCUAGCUGCAGCCAAUCUGCAUUCGUGUAAUUUUGAAGAUCCUGGUGGUCUGCCAGCAAAUAUGGAAGGUGUAAAUUUGAAAGGUGCAAAUCUUGAAGGCAGUAACAUGGCAGCCGUCAACCUCCGAGUAGCUACAUUAAAGAAUGCUAUUCUUAGGAAUUGCAUUUUGAGAUCAGCUGUUUUAGCCGGUGCCGAUUUAGAGUGCUGUGAUUUAUCUGGUUCUGAUCUACAAGAUGCAAAUUUACGCGGUGCAAAUUUAAAAGAUGCUGCUUUUGAGUUAAUGUUGACGCCACUGCACAUGUCUCAGACAAUACGAUAACAAUGAAUAUCAUGCUGCAUAUAUUACUGCAGCUUAAAUUCAAUAAUUUUUAUAUAAUUUAUAUUAACUUAUUUGUGAGUAUAUGUGGAUGUGCGUGAAUGCAGUAAUGUUGUAGGCCGGAGGGUCUCGAGAAUCAUAAAUACAUACUUAUACCAUAAAAAGAUGGUAUGUUCACUCGAGACACUAUCGUCUUCUGAUAUAUGGUUAUUUAUUAAUUAUCGAUAUAAAAGGAGAAUUUUUAGUAUAAUUUACGAGUUGGCUCUAUCGAUUAUACAUAAGAUUAUAUCAGAGUACAAGCAUAGCAUGGCAGACAAUGCAUUGGUCUAUUAUACCAGAGAUUCCGGGUUUGAUCCUGAUAGGAGCCAGUUAUGUCAGACACUCGAUGGCAAGGAAUUCCUCGCACCUCCCGUUGUCCGGUUUGGCACGCACACUUCGUGGACACGGUAUCACAUCGUUAUUUUAACCUAACCUAAUGGCUACAGCACUGUGCUGCAAACACGCAUGCGCGAGUGCGGGGCAUGUCUGGAAGCAUUGAUAGGAACCAAAUAUUUACGCCUGUAUCUCCCGUUGGAAAGGACCGGCAAUCUCCCGAGAGUACCCUUACUCACAGAAACACUUCUCGAAAAAUCCGUCAUUCGGAAUCAGUAUUAAAACUAUGCCUGUACGAAACUGAUAUUCAUGUUCACUAAGGAGGCCUGAUUUGAAGCUUUUGAUCGGUCGCGGCAUUUCAUCCCGAUCCCAAACUACUAGACUCAUCAGGGAAUUCACGUAGAUGCGGUGCUCACGCGAGUCUCGUUGGACCUCUAGUGGCGAGUCACCACAGGACUCCACCCCAAUGAGGGCGUGAUUCAACGGAUUGCGUCGGAAUGAUAAAUAUCAAGCAUGAGCGUAGUGUGAUCGAUGUAGCUUGGUGGCGUUCAUUAUCGUUCGUUGUCGUUCCUGUCGUUCGUUGUUGCUCCUGUGCUGCUCGAUGCUGCUUUAUGCUACUCUGUAUUGCUCUGUGCUGCCCGGUGCCACUAUUAAGCAUUGCGAGCGUGCGCGAGCGUGUGUGACCGUGUGUGUGGUCGUCUUUAUACCUAUAGAUACUUAUGGAUAUGGGUCCCUAUGGGACCGAAAUACGUGCGUGUUUUUAGAUCACGUCACGGGAUCACCAAUGUGAAUCCAGUUGUACGAAAAUGAUAUUCAUGUCCACUAAGGAGGCCUGACUCGAAGCUUUUGGUCAGCUGCGGCAUUUCGUCCCGGUCCCACACUACUAGACUCAUCAGGCGUUCGGAAACACUGAUGUGCCACUAAUAUACAGCCGUUCGGAAAUACUCGUGUGUACUCGGUGUGCACUAGUGUGAAAUCGGUCGGGACGUCGAGAGAGUCACACCGAGUGUCACUAAAUCGCCGUGCGAAAAACAAGGGGAGUCUGUGCGUUAUGGUCGCAGCACAAACUUGCAUAAUGCAUAAUGCAUAGUACAUAAGGGAAUCGACCAAUCGAAAUUAUAUAAGCAGUGUUAGUCUAAACAAAUAUAAGAUAUAUAUUUACAUUUGCUUUUUGAGAUUGUAGAGCCAGAAUUUUAAUCUAACUUCUAUAGAUAAAAUUUCAUCAUUCUUCGAUCUUUGCCAUCCAUGUACCAUCAUGAUUCAGAGCUAUUUUUGUAACUUCUAUAUUUACAAUAAUUACAUCGCAUUCUUGAGUCAGAAAAUUUUGAGC